UUCGGGUAAGAAUUUUGGAGAAAAAAAUUGAGGUUUAAAAUUAGUCUUGCUUCUUCUUCUACACGGAUUUUUUGGUUUAGUUCAAGAACAAGAAAAAUAUACAAAAAGAAAUGUUCAUCGUCCUUUGCUUCUGUUUUUGUUUUCAAUUACUUUCCAAAAAAAAAUCAAAAAUAUAUAUUACGUCCUUUCUUUCUGGGUUGGAGUAUGGUUUGAAAAUGGUGCUCGAUUGAUAGUUGCUGAGUUCGUUGCUGUCCGAGUUUCUGAUUUAUUCUCGACUGCUAUUGGUUUGCUAUUUCCGCGAGUUUUGAUUUGCCAUUGAAUUGUUCUGGGAAGUUUGGAGUCAAAACUGUGUAAUCGCUUUCGAUUAUGUUAUCAAAAGAAGUUCGAAAUUUCAGGUUCAAUCUUGAUCUCUCUGUUCUUUCGAUUCUGUUUCGUUUAGUGCUUUGAUUUAUGUGUUAUUGUCUCGAGUGCUCUGUUUAUGCUGGGAUCAGAUCUCGUGUUGAAUGAAUUCAUUCUCAAUAAUAUGAUGCAUUUGAGUAUUUUCAGUUUAGUAGAAGUCGCCUUGAACAGUCAUCUUUCAUUACCUACAUGUUUUGACGGUUAUUCAAGCUUGAAGAAUAUUCUGAAUCAAGUAUCAUCGAUUUCAAAAGAACAAUGUGUUCCUGUUUAUUCUGGAUCUGUUUAGCCUAGUUUACUGUUCAAAUGAUCCAUGGUUCAUUAAAGCAUUCUCUUGAGCUGGUUGUAAGUGUGUGGAUUUAGUUUGUUCGUAUAAGCUCGAAACGAGUUCCAUAAUCCCUAUUUGAUGUGUCUAUUUCCCUUCAUCCUGCCAUAAAAUCAGUUUAAAUUGGUGUUAGUUUCACGCUAGAUUUAUUUGUUUCUUGAUGGUUCGAGUGUGAAACUAUCCGAAUUCGUUUGUUGAUAGAGAUUCAUGUGUGCUUCUUUGAUAUGGUUUAAUUGACUGAUUUUGUAUAUAGUCAACCAACAUGUCCAAACUUUAAUUUGUUUGUGAGAUCCAUUCGAGUUCGAGUCAUAUAGAAUUCGAAUCCAUUUGGGUUGUGCAACUGUUAAUAUAGAAAUUGGAUUUUACCUUCAAUCUCUCCUGUUUCUAAUUUCAUAGAUAGCACAGCAGUAAACCAAUUUGAAUCAUAGAUGGAAACUGUUUUCCUUACGUUAUUCUAACAAGACUGAG
rnacentral:lncRNA from 1 species